CUAUUUUAGAAAGGUAAUAUAUCAGUAUCCCUUCAACUUACAUGUCAAUGUGUUAUACACAGCAAAACAGAAAAUUUGAAAUUUAUAUAAGUGACUGAAGAAUAUAUCUCGCUGGAGAAUUUAUCAAUUAACGAUGACGGGCCCUCAGACAAUUGUGGUCUAUGGCUUGAUUGGCAUUCUGGUCAUUGUUAUUGUGGUCAUAUCUAUUGUUUUGAUCGUUGGCUUAUAUAUUCACGAUCCAAAUCGUAUAUCUACAAAUGAGACGACGACUGAAGAGUCCUGGAAAUCCACUUGAUGGAGGCAGAGGAAGUCUAUUGUUUGCAUUUGUACAAUAAUUGGCAUAUCAAAUAAAAUUUGGUUAAAUUGUUA
rnacentral:sRNA from 1 species